rnacentral:rRNA from 1 species
UACUCGAGUGGCGAACGGGUGAGUAACACGUGGGUGAUCUGCCCUGCACUUCGGGAUAAGCUUGGGAAACUGGGUCUAAUACCGGAUAGGAGCCAUCUUUAGUGUGGUGGUUGGAAAGUUUUUUCGGUGUAGGAUGAGCUCGCGGCCUAUCAGCUUGUUGGUGGGGUAAUGGCCUACCAAGGCGGCGACGGGUAGCCGGCCUGAGAGGGUGUACGGCCACAUUGGUACUGAGAUACGGCCCAG